rnacentral:rRNA from 1 species
UACAGAGGUCUCAAGCGUUGUUCGGAUUCAUUGGGCGUAAAGGGUGCGUAGGCGGUGAUGUAAGUCAGGUGUGAAAUCUCGGGGCUCAACCCCGAAACUGCACUUGAUACUGCAUUGCUUGAGGACUGGAGAGGAGACUGGAAUUUAUGGUGUAGCAGUGAAAUGCGUAGAUAUCAUAAGGAAGGCCAGUGGCGAAGGCGGGUCUCUGGACAGUUCCUGACGCUGAGGCACGAAGGCCAGGGGAGCAAACGGG